rnacentral:lncRNA from 1 species
AGAUGAUAGUAUUGAAGCAGAUAUACUAGCUAUAACUGGACCAGAGGACCAGCCUGGCUCACUAGAAGUUAAUGGAAAUAAAGUGAGAAAGAAACUAAUGGCUCCAGACAUUAGCCUGACACUGGAUCCUAGUGAUGGCUCUGUAUUGUCAGAUGAUUUGGAUGAAAGUGGGGAGAUUGACUUAGAUGGCUUAGACACACCGUCAGAGAAUAGUAAUGAGUUUGAGUGGGAAGUCAUUUCCUGGAAGGAUAUUUUCCGUUAACAGCUUUGUCUUGGAAACAACUAACAUGCAGUAGGUUUCCCCCUCCCCCCAUCUUUUGAUGAUCUUCCAAAACCCAAGACUACUGAAGUAAUUAGGAAAGGCUCAAUUACUGAAUACACAGCAGCAGAGGAAAAAGAAGAUGGACGACGCUGGCGUAUGUUCAGGAUUGGAGAACAGGACCACAGGGUUGAUAUGAAGGCAAUUGAACCCUAUAAAAAAGUUAUCAGCCAUGGGGGAUAUUAUGGGGAUGGAUUAAAUGCCAUUGUUGUGUUUGCUGUCUGUUUCAUGCCUGAAAGUAGUCAGCCUAACUAUAGAUACCUGAUGGACAAUCUUUUUAAAUAUGUUAUUGGCACUUUGGAGCUAUUAGUAGCAGAAAACUACAUGAUAGUUUAUUUAAAUGGUGCAACAACUCGAAGAAAAAUGCCCAGUCUGGGAUGGCUCAGGAAAUGUUAUCAGCAAAUUGAUAGAAGGUUACGGAAAAAUCUAAAAUCCCUAAUCAUUGUACAUCCUUCUUGGUUUAUCAGAACACUUCUGGCUGUUACAA